GGCGAGGCGGCCCCGGCGCGGCGGCCGGGCGGGGCCGGGGGCGGGCGGAGCGCGCCCGGCCCGGCCCGGCUCGGCCGCCGCCGCCGAGACGCGCUGCGGGAGAGGAAGGAGGCGGCGGCGGAAUCACUACAGGAGUUAAAUCGGAGUGAGCCGGACAAGCAGCAAGCCUGCCUAUGUAGACUGAAGAAUUUGCUGAAGGUCACAUAACCUGAGGCCGAGCUGGAUCUCGUGACGCCCAGUCUGGUGCUUUAAUCACAGACCGUUCCUGCUUUUCAUGCUCCUAUGAAGAGAGCAGCCAGCUUUGCACAGAGUAGAAGCUUUUAUGCCCAGCCAUUUUGUGCAACAUAGCAAAAAGAAAAAAGUCCAGGUCUUCUGAGGAACCUGAGUCACCUUGA